GGAUGACGUCACUCGGCGCGUGCCCGGGUAGCCUGUGGUAACACCUAGUCUGCGGAAGUGGAGACGAGCGGGCAGGCGGCUGACACAGGGGACUGAAAGUUGUGGAACCCUAAUUUGUGACAUCGGGUGUUUUUUGGUAAGCAGCCAUUUAUGACUCUGGAAGAUUGGGACUGACAGGAAGCCCCUUCUGAGAUUUAAACAAAGUUCUCGAACAACACCUAUACCAUGGACAUAAAGCUGGAUCCUUCCCGAGAUGACCUGCCUCUCAUGGCCAACACCAGCCACAUACUUGUGAAGCACUAUGUACUGGAUUUAGAUGUGGAUUUCGAAAGUCAAAUCAUUGAGGGCACCAUAGUGCUUUUCUUCGAGUCUGGAAAUAAAUUCAAGAAACAGAGUAGUUCCACCGAGGAAACCUACCCAUCAGAGUCAAACAAAGCCUGCAAAUUUAGGACGCCUGAACCCUGCCAUAUUCCUGUAACAAAUACAAGGACCGUCUCAUCUAAAAUGGGAUAUAAUGAUUUUGUAAUCUGUGGUAAAGGUGAAAAAGAUACGUCUGGUAAAGAUGGUAACCAUGACAACCAGGAACAGGCUUCUGGGAUUUCUAGCUCAAAGUACUGCUGUGACGCAGGGAAUCAUGGGAGUGAGGAUUUUUUGCUAGUGUUGGACUGCUGUGAUUUAUCUGUGUUAAAGGUUGAGGAGGUGGAUGUUGCUGCUGUGCCAGGUAUUGAAAAAUUUACAAGGUCUCCCAAGCUCAGGAAUCAGAUUGUAUGUGAACUCGUGGCUCUGCCUGCAGAUCGUUGGAGGGAGCAGUUAGACUAUUAUGCUCGCUGCAGCCAGGCUCCUGGUUGUGGGGAACUCCUGUUUGACAUUGACACUUGGAGCUUACAGAUCAGGAAGACAGGGGUUCAGACAGCUACUGACUUUCCUCAUGCCAUAAGGAUACAGUACACAACCAAACCCCAGGGGCGAUCAGUUACGUGGACCUCAGACCAGAGUGGCAGGCCAUGUGUUUAUACUAUGGGAUCGCCCAUAAACAACAGGGCCCUUUUUCCAUGCCAGGAGCCACCCGUUGCCAUGUCAACAUGGCAGGCUACGGUUCGAGCAGCUGCAUCUUUUGUUGUUUUAAUGAGUGGGGAAAAUUCUGCCAAGCCAACACAGCUUCGGGAAGGAUGCUCAAGUUGGCAUUACUACGUAACCAUGCCAAUGCCAGCCUCCACCUUCACAAUUGCAGUAGGAUCCUGGACAGAAACGAAGCCAGAGAUCUGCUCAUCAGAUGAUCUGGCAACAGAGAAAUCCUUCUCACCUUUCGAGGCUGACUUCAGGUAUGUUGGUGUUUGUGGUCACAUGGAAUACCCCUGCCGCUUCCAGAACGCUUCUGCCACCACCCAGGAGAUAAUUCCUCAUCGGAUCUUCGCUCCAGUGUGCCUGAAGGGUGCCUGCCAAGAGACCCUUCUGCCGCUGAUCCCUCCUUGCCUCUCAGCAGCACACUCUGUCCUGGGAACACACCCGUUCUCCAGGCUGGAUGUACUCAUUGUUCCUGCCAACUUUCCGAGUCUGGGGAUGGCCAGCCCACACCUCGUCUUCCUCUCUCAGAGCACCUUGACUGGAAUGAGCCAGUUCUGUGGGACCCGUCUCUGCCAUGAAAUUGCUCACGCCUGGUUUGGCCUGGCUAUUGGGGCCCGUGACUGGACGGAAGAGUGGCUCAGUGAAGGGUUCGCCACUCACUUGGAAGAUGUAUUCUGGGCCAAGGCGCAGCAGCUGGCCCCCCACGAGGCCCAGGAGCAGCGGGAGCUGAGGGCUUGCCUGCGCUGGCGUCGCCUUCAGGACGAGGUGCGGAACUCCCCGGAGGAUAUGCAGGUGUUGAGACCCAAUAAAAAGAAAACUGGCCAUGUGAGUGACUCAGGAUCUUCUGUCAUCAAACACGGGCUCAAUCCGGAUAAGGUCUUCAUGCAGGUUCAUUAUUUAAAGGGCUAUUUCCUUCUCCGGUUCCUUGCCAGAAGACUUGGAGAUGACACCUAUUUUUCAUUUUUAAGAAAGUUUGUGCACAAAUUUCAUGGGCAGCUGAUUCUUUCCCAGGAUUUCCUUCAAAUGCUGUUGGAGAGCAUCCCAGAAGAAAGAAGGCUUGAGUUGUCUGUUGAAAACAUCUUCCAAGACUGGCUGGAGAGUUCCGGAAUACCACAGCCGCUGCAGAGGGAGCGCCUGGCCGGGGCGGAGUGCGGGCUCGUGCGGCAAGUGAGCGCCGAGGUCGCCAAAUGGGUCCGAGUGAACAGGAGACCCCGAAAACGGAAACGAAAGGAGACAGAAGAAGUGUUGGAAAAGCUUCUUCCAGACCAGCUGGUCUUGCUUCUGGAGCAUCUCUUGGAGCAGAGGACUCUGAAUCCCCGAACUCUGCAAAGACUUGAGAGGACGUACCACCUCUCGGAGCAGGAUGCAGAGGUUCGCCAUCGAUGGUGUGAACUUGUUGUUAAGCACAAAUACACAGAAGCGUACGGAAACGUGGAGAGGUUCCUUCAGGAGGAUCAGGGUCUUUGUAACUUCCAGACCAGCAAGUCCGUGCGGAACAAGCACAGACUGUGCACUCGAGCGCGUGGGGACACACGAUUGCCUUUUCUUCAGCUCUCUGGCCUCUGUGCCUUCCGCAGGCCAUGGGCAUCUACCUCUACGGGGAGCUGAUGGUGAGUGAGGAUGCCCGGCAGCAGCGUCUCGCCCGCAGGUGCUUCGAGCUGAGCAAGGAGCAGAUGGACAGAUCCUCAGCAGAGGUGGUGGCCGAGAUGUUAUAUUAAAGAGGAAAGAUCACAGCGAGAUUCUUUUUCAUGCAUCUACUCGUAGCCCUGGUGGGACCAGGAUCACAUUGACCCUGGACAUCAAAGGAAGGAUUAUGGGGCUGCUAAAGCCAUCAGCCGGCAGCAGUGUGCACACUGGGGCGACCUUCCCAGAGGCCGUGGCCCUCACAGUGGAGCCCGUGUCAGAGGCACAUCCUUGUAAACGGUCUCCACGGGGCUGUGUGAUGCCUCUGUGCCCACCCUGGCUGUGCCACCUCAAGAUCCUGAAUCUGAAUUGAGUCUCCCCUGUGAGUUCAAUGCAGUUUUCACACAAAGAUGGAAGAUACCUGAGGCCCGUCGGAAGACCUGCUGAACCUCCUCCAUCCGUCCCUCAGCAUGUGGAUGUUUGUUUCUGUGCUUCCAGAAGGUCAGGGUUUCUGCGUACUGGGACCACCUCUGCGGGAUUACUUUGAUUGAUAGGUCCCGUAUUUAGAUUUUCCAAAAUUUUAGUACCUUUUGGUAGAAGUACAGGAUAACACUCGAAGAUGUAUUAAUAAUAAAAUGUAAUGGAUUCGUUUUUUUUUUU